rnacentral:misc_RNA from 1 species
UCUCCGUUGGUGAACCAGCGGAGGGAUCAUUAUCGAGUUUAUAACUCCCAAACCCUAUGUGAACUUACCACUUGUCGCUUCGGCGCGCGCUUCGGCGCCGCCGAGGACACUUAAACUCUUUGUUUUUAUAAGCAUUUCUGAGUGGCCGAAAGGCAAAAUACAAAUGAAUCAAAGCUUUCAACAACGGAUCUCUUGGUUCUG